rnacentral:piRNA from 1 species
GUAAGUAGGAAAAGGAUUUUGGCCAGUGG